rnacentral:rRNA from 1 species
AUUGAACGCUGGCGGCAGGCCUAACACAUGCAAGUCGAGCGGACCGGCGGACGGGGACGUAAUGGCUAGGUAUCUGCCCGGUCGCAGGGGAUAACGAUAGGUACCGGGAGCAAUUGCCGAAUCCUAUCAGUUUAGCCUCGGCCGGAUUAGAUAGUUGGUGGGGUAAAGGUCUAGCAAGGCGACGACCCGUAACUGGUCUGAGAGGAUGAUCAGUCACACUGGAACUGAGACACGGUCCAGACUCCUACGGGAGGCAGCAGUGGGGAAUAUUGGACAAUGGGCGAAAGCCUGAUCCAGCCAUGCCGCGUGUGUGAAGAAGGUCUUCGGAUUGUAAAGCACUUUAAGUUGGGAGGCGUUACCAACAGAAUAAGCACCGGCUAACUUCGUGCCAGCAGCCGCGGUAAUAC